AGACUAUGUAAUAAAGUGAAUUUAACUGCAUCUGCCACACAGCGUGUGUUUGAGGUACAUUCGAUACUGCAAUUUGGACCCAGAAUGAAGUCACAAAAUCAGCUGAACAGAGGAAUUAAACAGCCUGCAGUACCAGAUGCUCACCUCUAGAAGACAUUCCAGAUACACAAUGGGGGAAUUCAAUUAAACCCACUGCUAAUUGCUGGCACGAACCUAAUCAAUUAGCGGGAUUUACCCGACGUGCAAGUCCCCACAGUGCUGCGAGCGAGCCCCACAGGCGGUCUGAACCUCGCUACCCAUACAGCUGUACGGUAAAGUACCACAAAGGUUGCGGCUAAUUGAAUAUCUCCCAGAGAAUCUUACAGCCAAAGACCAUCUGCACACUGUCAGGAAGAAGAAUCUUCACUCAUCCACCCGCAGGAUAUCAGUGUGGCAGUAGCUGCUGAACGGGAAGAUCCAGGACUACUGAGAUUUUGAAAAGAUUCUACCAUUACUACCUUCUCUGGCAGAGAGUUCUAAAUCUUUACGCCCCUUCGUUUGGUAUGAAAUUUUCUCUACCCUAACCUCAGAGGGUGACCA